rnacentral:rRNA from 1 species
CGGGGUGAGUAACGCGUGGGUAACCUGCCUUGUACUGGGGGACAACAGUUGGAAACGACUGCUAAUACCGCAUAAGCGCACAGCUUCGCAUGAAGCAGUGUGAAAAACUCCGGUGGUACAAGAUGGACCCGCGUCUGAUUAGCUGGUUGGUGAGGUAACGGCCCACCAAGGCGACGAUCGGUAGCUGGUCUGAGAGGACGACCAGCCACACUGGGACUGAGACACGGCCCAG